AUCCAAAGCAAAGUACUUGAAAGCUUGGUUUUUAGGAGUGAUCUUUCGCCUUUGUUGACGAGAGCUGAAACAAGCUUACUUACUAAUAAAGCGGAAAGAAGCACCUUCUUUCUCAAAGUCAAGUUUCUCCCCUUUUACUAGUAGUUGAAGUGCUCCUUGUUGUUCCGAUAUUAACCGGAUCCGAGCUUCCCAAGCUCAUUACAGGUCUGGCAAAUUCACACUACCACCCUUACGCAAAGGUCUCAGGUUCAAAUCCCGAGUAAACAAAAAUUAUUCAGUAAAUAGUGCUUCUCCCCUUAAACUUUUCUUACACAACACAAAUUCUGAUUACUUGGACUCCAUUUCGGGUACCAGACACCGGGUGUAAAAUAAAGAAAAGAAGCAAAUUUACACUAAUAAAAGUUAAACACCUAUAGAUUUCUCAAGAUCCCAAAAAGCAUAAUUAGAUUUCUCUUCCUCCCAAAAGCUAAAUUACAAACAUAUCAAAUCAAAGAAAGCAAAAUACUGACACAAAGAUCAACCCUUGAUCCAAGACAAAAAUUAAAAAGUUAUCUAGAAAAAAAGGGCAGUUCGGUUCACUAAAGCUCCCGCUAUGCGCAGGGUUCGGGGAAGGGCCCCACCACAAGGGUAUAUUGUACAUAGCCUUACCUUGCAUUUCUGCCAGAGACUGUUUACAAAGAUUAAAAAUUUGUACACACAUCCCACUUGCAAUGACAACACUAACAACCAUAGGUAAUCCAAGCUUACUCUUAUAAUGAGCUAAGUUGAGCGGACUCUUCAUUUUUUAUGUUGCACCCGUGUCAAAUUCUUAAAAAAUAUACUAAUUUUGGCGAAUUCGACACGCACUUAUUGACAUUUUUGACGAGUCCGAGCAUCAUAGAUAAUGAGAGGUUUGACAAACUUACACUACCACCUUUAAUUAGAGGACUCGAGUUUUAGCCUGAGUAUGAAAAGAAUCCUUACGCAGCACAAAUCCCAAUUAGUCCUAUGUGUGUGUAUCAAAGCUGGUACCAGACACCGGGUGGAAAACAAAAAAAGGCAAGUUUAUACAAGCAAAAGUUAACCAUCAAUUUAUUUUUCCAAAUGUUAAACAACUAUAGAUUUCUCAUGAUUCCAAAAAACUAAAUCACAAACAUAUCAAAUCAAGAAAGCACAAAACUAACACAAAGAUUAAAACUUGAUCCAAGAAAAAGAUUAAAAUAUAUAUAUAUAUAUAUAUAUAUAUCAAGAAUUAAAGAUUAGAAAUUUGUAUACAUACCCCACACUUGCAAUCAACACCAGCAACCACAGGAACAAGACAACCAUAAGUAAGCCAAGCUUCCCUCUUCAUAGUCAUAAGAUAAGCAAACAAUGCAGUGAAAAAUGGUGUUGUAGCACCUACAGCUUGAUUGAAUGAAACAGGCAAAUA
rnacentral:lncRNA from 1 species